GAUGAACGCUGGCGGCGUGCCUAAUACAUGCAAGUCGAGCGAACAGACCAGGAGCUUGCUCCUCUGACGUUAGCGGCGGACGGGUGAGUAACACGUGGAUAACCUACCUAUAAGACUGGGAUAACUUCGGGAAACCGGAGCUAAUACCGGAUAAUAUAUUGAACCGCAUGGUUCAAUAGUUAAAGACGGUUUUGCUGUCACUUAUAGAUGGAUCCGCGCCGCAUUAGCUAGUUGGUAAGGUAACGGCUUACCAAGGCGACGAUGCGUAGCCGACCUGAGAGGGUGAUCGGCCACACUGGAACGGAGACACGGUCCAGACUCCUACGGGAGGCAGCAGUAGGGAAUCUUCCGCAAUGGGCGAAAGCCUGACGGAGCAACGCCGCGUGAGUGAUGAAGGUCUUCGGAUCGUAAAACUCUGUUAUUAGGGAAGAACAAAUGUGUAAGUAACUAUGCACGUCUUGACGGUACCUAAUCAGAAAGCCACGGCUAACUACGUG
rnacentral:rRNA from 1 species